GGAUGAACGCUAGCGAUAGGCUUAACCCAUGCAAGUCGAGGGGCAGCACAAGGUAGCUUGCUAUCUGGGUGGCGACCGGCGCACGGGUGCGUAACGCGUAUGCAACUUGCCCUAUACAGGAGGAUAACCCGUCGAAAGACGGACUAAUACUGCGUAUGCUCACAACUUGGCAUCAAGUGGCGAGGAAAGAAAUUCGGUAUAGGAUAGGCAUGCGUCCCAUUAGCUUGUUGGUGAGGUAACGGCUCACCAAGGCAACGAUGGGUAGGGGAACUGAGAGGUUUAUCCCCCACACUGGUACUGAGACACGGACCAGACUCCUACGGGAGGCAGCAGUGAGGAAUAUUGGUCAAUGGGCGCGAGCCUGAACCAGCCAAGUCGCGUGAAGGAUGACUGUCUUAUGGAUUGUAAACUUCUUUUAUACGGGAAUAACAAGAGUCACGUGUGACUCCCUGCAUGUACCGUAUGAAUAAGCAUCGGCUAACUCCGUG
rnacentral:rRNA from 1 species